rnacentral:rRNA from 1 species
GUGUCAGCAGCCGCGGUAAGACAGAGGGUGCAAACGUUGCUCGGAUUUACUGGGCGUAAAGCGCGUGUAGGCGGGCGACUAAGUCGGAUGUGAAAUCCCUGGGCUCAACCUAGGAACUGCAUUCGAAACUGGUCACCUAGAGUGAUGGAGAGGAAAGCGGAAUUCCCGGUGUAGAGGUGAAAUUCGUAGAUAUCGGGAGGAACACCAGUGGCGAAGGCGGCUUUCUGGACAUUUACUGACGCUGAGACGCGAAAGCGUGGGGAGCAAACAGGAUUAGAUACCCGGGUAGUCC